rnacentral:tRNA from 1 species
UUGGAGAUUUAGCUCAGUGGUAGAGCACUUGCUUGCCUAGCAAGUGCAAGGCCCUGGGUUCGGUCCCCAGCUCUGAA